GUUUAUAUAGUUUAAAAAAAACACAGCACUUUCAGAGCUGAAAUAGAUAUAAAUUCUUAUAAAUU
rnacentral:tRNA from 1 species